rnacentral:rRNA from 1 species
GUCAGCGGCGGACGGGUGAGUAACGCGUGGGAACGUGCCCUCUGGUUCGGAAUAACUCAGGGAAACUUGAGCUAAUACCGGAUACGCCCUUUUGGGGAAAGGCUUGCUGCCGGAGGAUCGGCCCGCGUCUGAUUAGCUAGUUGGUGAGGUAACGGCUCACCAAGGCGACGAUCAGUAGCUGGUCUGAGAGGAUGAUCAGCCACACUGGGACUGAGACACGGCCCAGACUCCUACGGGAGGCAGCAGUGGGGAAUAUUGGACAAUGGGCGCAAGCCUGAUCCAGCCAUGCCGCGUGAGUGAUGAAGGCCUUAGGGUUGUAAAGCUCUUUUAUCCGGGACGAUAAUGACGGUACCGGAGGAAUAAGCCCCGGCUAACUUCGUGCCAGCAGCCGCGGUAAUACGAAGGGGGCUAGCGUUGCUCGGAAUCACUGGGCGUAAAGGGCGCGUAGGCGGCGUUUUAAGUCGGGGGUGAAAGCCUGUGGCUCAACCACAGAAUGGCCUUCGAUACUGGGACGCUUGAGUAUGGUAGAGGUUGGUGGAACUGCGAGUGUAGAGGUGAAAUUCGUAGAUAUUCGCAAGAACACCGGUGGCGAAGGCGGCCAACUGGACCAUUACUGACGCUGAGGCGCGAAAGCGUGGGGAGCAAACAGGAUUAGA